GACGAACGCUGGCGGCGUGCCUAAUACAUGCAAGUUGAGCGAUGAAGCUUGGUGCUUGCACCAAUUUGAAGAGCAGCGAACGGGUGAGUAACGCGUGGGGAAUCUGCCUUUGAGCGGGGGACAACAUUUGGAAACGAAUGCUAAUACCGCAUAACAACUUUAAACAUAAGUUUUAAGUUUGAAAGAUGCAAUUGCAUCACUCAAAGAUGAUCCCGCGUUGUAUUAGCUAGUUGGUGAGGUAAAGGCUCACCAAGGCGAUGAUACAUAGCCGACCUGAGAGGGUGAGCGGCCACAUUGGGACUGAGACACGGCCCAAACUCAUACGGGAGGCAGCAGUAGGGAAUCUUCGGCAAUGGACGAAAGUCUGACCGAGCAACGCCGCGUGAGUGAAGAAGGUUUUCGGAUCGUAAAACUCUGUUGGUAGAGAAGAACGUUGGUGAGAGUGGAAAGCUCAUCAAGUGACGGUAACUACCCAGAAAGGGACGGCUAACUACGUG
rnacentral:rRNA from 1 species